rnacentral:rRNA from 1 species
GACGAACGCUGGCGGCGUGCUUAACACAUGCAAGUCGAACGGAAAGGCCCUGCUUUUGUGGGGUGCUCGAGUGGCGAACGGGUGAGUAACACGUGAGUAACCUGCCCUUGACUUUGGGAUAACUUCAGGAAACUGGGGCUAAUACCGGCUAGGAGCUCCUGCUGCAUGGUGGGGGUUGGAAAGUUUCGGCGGUUGGGGAUGGACUCGCGGCUUAUCAGAUUGUUGGUGGGGUAGUGGCUUACCAAGGCUUUGACGGGUAGCCGGCCUGAGAGGGUGACCGGCCACACUGGGACUGAGCUAAGGCACAGACUCGUACGGGAGGCAGGAGUGGGGAAUAUUGCACAAUGGGCGGAAGGCUGAUGCAGCACAGCCGCGUGCGGGAUGACGGCAUUCGGGUUGUAAACCGCUUUCGCCUGUGACGAAGCGUGAGUGACGGUAAUGGGUAAAGAAGCACCGGCUAACUACGUG